AUUGAACGCUGGCGGCAGGCCUAACACAUGCAAGUCGAGCGAGCGGCGGACGGGUGAGUAAUGUCUGGGAAACUGCCUGAUGGAGGGGGAUAACUACUGGAAACGGUAGCUAAUACCGCAUACCCUCAGAUGUGCCCAGAUGGGUUUAGCUAGUAGGUGGGGUAAUGGCUCACCUAGGCGACGAUCCCUAGCUGGUCUGAGAGGAUGACCAGCGACAGUGGAACGACAACACGGUCCAGACUCCUACGGGAGGCAGAAUGGGGAAAUAUUGCACAAUGGGCGCAAGCCUGAUGCAGCCAUGCGGAGUGUGUGAAGAAGGCCUUCGGGUUGUAAAGCACUUUCAGCGGGGAGGCGUUACCCGCAGAGGAAGCACCGGCUAACGCCGUGCCAGCAGCCGCGGUAAUAC
rnacentral:rRNA from 1 species